rnacentral:hammerhead_ribozyme from 1 species
AUCCAGCUGACGAGUCCCAAAUAGUACAAAACACGCGUCAAACUGGAU